rnacentral:rRNA from 1 species
GACGAACGCUGGCGGCGUGCUUAACACAUGCAAGUCGAACGGAAAGGCCCUGCUUUUGUGGGGUGCUCGAGUGGCGAACGGGUGAGUAACUCGUGAGUAACCUGCCCUUGACUUUGGGAUAACUUCAGGAAACUGGGGCUAAUACCGGAUAGGAGCUCCUGCUGCAUGGUGGGGGUUGGAAAGUUUCGGCGGUUGGGGAUGGACUCGCGGCUUAUCAGCUUGUUGGUGGGGUAGUGGCUUACCAAGGCUUUGACGGGUAGCCGGCCUGAGAGGGUGACCGGCCACAUUAGGACUGAGAUACGGCCCAGACUCCUACGGGAGGCAGCAGUGGGGAAUAUUGCACAAUGGGCUGAAGCAUGAUGCAGUAACGCCGCGUGCGGGAUGACGGCCAGCGGGUUGUAAUCCGCUUUCGCCUGAGACGAGGCGUGAGUGACGGUAAUGGGUAAAGAAGCACCGGCUAACUACGUG